rnacentral:rRNA from 1 species
AGUUUUUUUGGGGUUUUUUAUGGUUUUUUUUAAUCGCUCAGGACGAACGCUGGCGGCGUGCCUAAUACAUGCAAGUCGAGCGGACAGAUGGGAGCUUGCUCCCUGAUGUUAGCGGCGGACGGGUGAGUAACACGUGGGUAACCUGCCUGUAAGACUGGGAUAACUCCGGGAAACCGGGGCUAAUACCGGAUGCUUGUUUGAACCGCAUGGUUCAAACAUAAAAGGUGGCUUCGGCUACCACUUACAGAUGGACCCGCGGCGCAUUAGCUAGUUGGUGAGGUAAUGGCUCACCAAGGCAACGAUGCGUAGCCGACCUGAGAGGGUGAUCGGCCACACUGGGACUGAGACACGGCCCAGACUCCUACGGGAGGCAGCAGUAGGGAAUCUUCCGCAAUGGACGAAAGUCUGACGGAGCAACGCCGCGUGAGUGAUGAAGGUUUUCGGAUCGUAAAGCUCUGUUGUUAGGGAAGAACAAGUACCGUUCGAAUAGGGCGGUACCUUGACGGUACCUAACCAGAAAGCCACGGCUAACUACGUGCCAGCAGCCGCGGUAAUACGUAGGUGGCAAGCGUUGUCCGGAAUUAUUGGGCGUAAAGGGCUCGCAGGCGGUUUCUUAAGUCUGAUGUGAAAGCCCCCGGCUCAACCGGGGAGGGUCAUUGGAAACUGGGGAACUUGAGUGCAGAAGAGGAGAGUGGAAUUCCACGUGUAGCGGUGAAAUGCGUAGAGAUGUGGAGGAACACCAGUGGCGAAGGCGACUCUCUGGUCUGUAACUGACGCUGAGGAGCGAAAGCGUGGGGAGCGAACAGGAUUAGAUACCCUGGUAGUCCACGCCGUAAACGAUGAGUGCUAAGUGUUAGGGGGUUUCCGCCCCUUAGUGCUGCAGCUAACGCAUAAGCACUCCGCCUGGAGACGCCGUUCA